UUCGCAAUGCCCGAAAGGGUGACGAAGCGACGCCGCGUGCGGGAAGAAGGCCUUCGGGUUGUAAACCGCUGUCGGGAGUUAGGAAAUGCAAGGAUGUUAAUAGCGUCUUUGCUUGACUAAGGCUCCGGAGGAAGCCACGGCUAACUCUGUGCCAGCAGCCGCGGUAAUACAGAGGCGGCAAGCGUUGUUCGGAAUUAUUGGGCGUAAAGAGCACGUAGGCGGCCGUGUAAGUCGGUUGUGAAAGCCUUCCGCUCAACGGGAGAACGGCAUCCGAUACUGCAUGGCUCGAGUGCGGGAGGGGAGAGUGGAACUUCUGGUGGAGCGGUGAAAUGCGUAGAUAUCAGAAGGAACGCCGGCGGCGAAAGCGGCUCUCUGGCCCGUAACUGACGCUGAGUGUGCGGAAGCUAGGGGAGCAAACGGGAUUAGAUACCCCGGUAGUCCUAGCCGUAAACGAUGGGCACUAAGUAGAGGGGUUUU
rnacentral:rRNA from 1 species